rnacentral:rRNA from 1 species
GACGAACGCUGGCGGUGUGCUUCUCACAUGCAAGUCGAACGAAGUAGCAAUACCUAGUGGCGGACGGGUGAGUAACGCGUGGGAAUCUGCCUUUAGAUGGGGGAUAACGGGCCGAAAGGUCCGCUAAUACCGCAUAUGCCGCAAGGUGAAAGGAGUAAUCCGUCUAAAGAUGAGCCCGCGUCCGAUUAGCUAGUUGGUAGAGUAAGAGCCUACCAAGGCGACGAUCGGAAGCUGGUCUGAGAGGAUGAUCAGCCACAAUGGGACUGAGACACGGCCCAUACUCCUACGGGAGGCAGCAGUGGGGAAUUUUACGCAAUGGGGGAAACCCUGACGUAGCGACACCGCGUGAGCGAAGAAGCCCUUUGGGGUGUAAAGCUCUGUCAGCUGGAACGAAAACAAUGACGGUACCAGCAGGGGAAGCAUCGGCUAACUACGUGCCAGCCGCCGCCGUAA